rnacentral:rRNA from 1 species
GACAGAGGGUGCAAACGUUGUUCGGAAUUACUGGGCGUAAAGCGCGUGUAGGCGGCCAUCUAAGUCGGGCGUGAAAUCCCACGGCUCAACCGUGGAAGUGCACUCGAAACUGGAUGGCUAGAGUCCUGGAGAGGAAGGUGGAAUGCUUGGUGUAGAGGUGAAAUUCGUAGAUAUUCGCAAGAACACCAGUGGCGAAGGCGGCUCACUGGCCCGAUACUGACGCUGAGGCACGAAAGCGUGGGGAGCAAACAGG